rnacentral:rRNA from 1 species
UACGUAGGGGGCAAGCGUUGUCCGGAUUUAUUGGGCGUAAAGAGCGUGUAGGCGGCCAGACAGGUCAGCUGUGAAAACUCGAGGCUCAACCUCGAGACGUCGGUUGAAACCGUCUGGCUAGAGUCCGGAAGAGGAGAGUGGAAUUCCCGGUGUAGCGGUGAAAUGCGCAGAUAUCGGGAAGAACACCCGUGGCGAAGGCGGUCUC